GGUUGGGAGUGCACUUUCGGAUCCAUAUCUUCCAUCUGCAGCUGCAUUAAAUGGUUUAGCUGGGCCACUCCAUGGUUAGGCUAAUCAGGAAGUUCUGCUGCUGUGGAUCAGAUCAGUUGUCACAACUGCCAAAAAAUGUGUUUUGAAAGCAAGUUUGUUAUCUGAUCAUCGCUCCUCCGGCCUCUGAAUUCAUACAUGUGGAAUUCUUCAUCUAGGGUUUGGUUGUUUAACAUAUGCUUGGAGAAGGUCCUGAGGCAACUCACCCCUGCAAAUUGCAAAUUUCAUAUCGUACUAGCUGGAGCUCUAAAGGUUAUCAAAUUAGUCGUUGGAGAUAAGAGUCUCAACAGGAGUUACCCCCAAUAACCUCUUUGAGUAUGUAGUGUUGCAUGCUUCUCUCCAUGAUCCUGAUCAACACAGAAAUUCUGUUAAUCUCUUGCUAUCUUUGCAGGUGAGUUUAUAUCUAGCUAUAUAUGAGACCAAUGUUGCAUAUGAGACCAAUGUUGUUACCCCCAAUAACUUCUUUGAGUCUGUAGUGUUGCAUAUGAGUGGAUUGAAUUGCUCAAUCCCACAGAAUUAUUUUGCUAAUCUUGUGGCUGAGCGUGAGUUUGUGGAAUGUACCUCCUCUGUUCCCGCAAGCUCUGGUUCUGUUCAAGCAACUCUAUCCGGACCAUACGACAAAAGAGAUGGAGAUUUCCCACAACAGGAAACUGUAGGAGUGUUCAUGGAAAAACUGCUUGAGUACUCACAGAUGUGUGUGGGCACUUGUUGCUGAGUACCGAAGAGCUGCGUUCGUUACUCAUCCGGGAAAUAUCCACUAGACAGUUAUAAAAUUGCAAACCCUUUUUCAAAAAAAAACAAAAAAAAACUGAAUUUUCAAACGGCAACGUUUCAGCAAAAUCGCAAUGUGGUGGAGUAAUAAGCCUAGCCCUGCCCAGCCCAUAUAUUGCAACGUUGUCCGUGUUGUGUUUUGUUAAGUUUGUCAGACGCGCCUCGAUUACCUCAUUUUCUCAAAAUAUUUAAAAUUCGUCGAUUUUUGUAGUCUAUAACCUUGCCGAAUUGAUGAAACGCGCGCUACGCGCUCUUCAUGCGCGUGGGCAUUGUUUUCAAUUAUUUGCCUGUUGUGUGACACGCGCGUUAAGUGGGCUAGACCAUGGUCAACCUUUGUCAACUAAACGAUACCGUUUAGAAAAUUGUAAUCUAUUCUGUAGAAUAAUCAGGCCUGGCCCAUAUAGUACCACAUCAUGUAAUAAAUAUACAAGCCCGACAAGGUACAAAUGUUAUAGACCGAGACUCAAUUGACUUGGCCUAUAUGAUAAAGACUACUGAUUCGAUUUUACAGUAUUCCGUCAAACAUUAUACAAACCAAAUUCGAAAACAAAACAAAACUGUCAACAACCAAUCUUCAAGUUAAAAUGAUUGACCUAAGCCUAAUGUAAAAUGUUUAACGAACAAUCUAUGAUUACUAAACAAAGGAAUCUCAAUCUUCUUUAGGACUUGAUACGACAUCAACGAGAUACUGAUUCAACUUCUGUCCAAACGUCUUCACAGAGAAUGAUUCGACGACAUGAUUCCUGGCCUCAGCUCCCAUUCUCUUCGCCAAUUCAGGAUCUUCGAUGAAUCUAGCCAUUGCCGAACUGAAAUCUUCUGGAGUCGAUUCACAAAGAUAGCC